rnacentral:lncRNA from 1 species
GACUAUCAUGCUGAUAACGUGUUAUGAACUAUUCCUAGAGAAUAACAAGAAUAGAGAAGAAGAGAUGAAGGAGAGAAAGAGAUGAGAGAAUAGACUCUUGUAUUGUUCUAUUCAAGGUGUGUCAUUUACAUUGUGAGAUAGUCAUAUAUAUAGGAGAUUACAUGGGCCAAGAAUAUGGGCCUAGACUAAUGGACAUCCACAUCUAUAUUAUUC